GGGAAUGUGGCUCAGUGGUAGAGUGCUUGCCUAGCAUGCAUGAAACCCUAUGGAAGCCCUAUCUUCUAUUCCUC
rnacentral:tRNA from 1 species